GGCUCCGUAGCUUAGUGAAUAGAGCGCAAGAUUCCGGUUCUUGAGGUCGUGGGUUUGAGUCCCACCGGGGUCA
rnacentral:tRNA from 1 species